UCUCAGUUCCCUGGAAGGAGGCACAGCCUGGAUUCCUGGGGGCGGCCCCCUUCCGGGCAGGUCCAGACUGGGGUGCCGGGCCAUCUGCAUCCCCAACUCCUGCACACUCCCUUUCUGAGGCCCUGAACACAGACAACAGAGCAACACUUUCGAGUCAUAUUGUUUGGCAGCAGUGAAGAGAUGAAAAUGGACAGAUGUCUGAAAAGAGGUAUUCCCUCCGCUCCAAAGGAAGUCCAACAGACGUUGCACGGUCAUCAACAAUUAUUGAAGUGUACACUUGAGAAAGCAGGGUGAAGUCUGCCUUGUUGCAUCCCUAAGCACUGCGUGACUGGCUGGCUGAAUCAGACCACUGGGACCUCCCUGGUGGCGCAGUGGUUAAGAAUCCACCUGCUAAUGUAGGGGACACGGGUUCAAGCCCUGGUCCAAGCCCUGGUCUGGGAAGAUCCCACAUGCCCCGGAGCAAGUAAGCCUGUGCGCCACAACUAUUGAGCCUGCGCUCUAGAGCCCAGGAGCCACAACUACUGAGCCCACGUGCUGCAACUACUGAAGCCUGCGUGCCUAGAGCCCGUGCACCGCAAUAAGAGAAGCCACCGCAAUGAGAAGCCUGCGCACCACAACGAAGACUAGCCCCCACUCGCUGCAACUAGAGAAAGCCCGUGUGCAGCAACGAAGACCCAGCACAGCCAAAAAUAAAUAAUUAAAAAAUAUGCAUUUCAGUAA